AUGCCUCGUCAUCUAAUUAGUGACGCGCAUGAAUGGAUUAACGAGAUUCCUACUGUCCCUAUCUACUAUCUAGCGAAACCACAGCCAAGGGAACGGGCUUGGAAUAAUUAGCGGGGAAAGAAGACCCUGUUGAGCUUGACUCUAGUCUGGCAGUGUAAGGAGACAUAAGAGGUGUAGCAUAAGUGGGAGAUAUAUUAGUUUCGGCUAAAUAUAUCAAAAAUGAAAUACCACUACUCUUAUUGUUUCCUUACUUACUUGAUAAAAUGGAACGUGUAUCAUUCACUUAGCCAUUAUAUGGAUAUAUUUAUAUAUUUUAUGGUAUUUUGUUUUGAUGCGAGCUUCUUGUUUAAAGUACCAAGAGUUUGUUAUAUACACCAAACAAAUAUCAAUUAAAUUUGCUUUCCAUUAAUAAUGGUUUGUUAAAUAUUAAUUGAAUUUGGUAUAACUAUUAUACUCAGGUAUGAUCCAAUUCAAGGACAUUGCCAGGUGGGGAGUUUGACUGGGGCGGUACAUCUCUCAAAUAAUAACGGAGGUGUCCCAAGGCCAGCUCAGUGCGGACAGAAACCACACAUAGAGCAAAAGGGCAAAUGCUGACUUGAUCUCGGUGUUCAGUACAUACAGAGACAGCAAAAGCUCGGCCUAUCGAUCCUUUUGGUUUAA
rnacentral:rRNA from 1 species